UAUUUGGUGUUGUUUCUAUUUUUCUUAUUGAAUAUAAAAAUUAGAAACAUCGUUCUCUAACAUAUUAAGUUUUCUGGAGAACAAAUAAUUUAACUUAAUAUUAGAGGAGGUUUGAGUUUGGGUAUCGUCAGGCUUCAAGUUUUUACUACAAACUAUCUAGCAGUUUAAGAAUUGAGAAUUCUAUCGACCAGCAAAUCAGUCAUGUAGAAUAUAUAUUUAAAAGAAGAU
rnacentral:lncRNA from 1 species